rnacentral:rRNA from 1 species
AUGAUCUGAAGUCAGGUGGGAUUACCCGCUGAACUUAA